rnacentral:rRNA from 1 species
AGUGAACGCUGGCGGUAGGCCUAACACAUGCAAGUCGAACGGCAGCACAGUAAGAGCUUGCUCUUACGGGUGGCGAGUGGCGGACGGGUGAGGAAUACAUCGGAAUCUACUUUUUCGUGGGGGAUAACGUAGGGAAACUUACGCUAAUACCGCAUACGACCUACGGGUGAAAGCAGGGGAUCUUCGGACCUUGCGCGAUUGAAUGAGCCGAUGUCGGAUUAGCUAGUUGGCGGGGUAAAGGCCCACCAAGGCGACGAUCCGUAGCUGGUCUGAGAGGAUGAUCGGCCACACUGGAACUGAGAAACGGUCCAGACUCCUACGGGAGGCAGCAGUGGGGAAUAUUGGACAAUGGGCGCAAGCCUGAUCCAGCCAUACCGCGUGGGUGAAGAAGGCCUUCGGGUUGUAAAGCCCUUUUGUUGGGAAAGAAAAGCAGAAGGUUAAUACCCCGCUGUUCUGACGGUACCCAAAGAAUAAGCACCGGCUAACUUCGUG